rnacentral:snRNA from 1 species
GUUAGCGUUUCUUUCAUCCCAGG